GGCCGUUGGGACAGAGCACCGGGCAACACAACAGCGCAGCUGGAAAAGAAUGACAGUUUCUCAAUGUACACAAAAAUAUAUAUAUUUGACUGCUAAGUGGUAGUCUCUGUUCUCCUGCAUUCUUGUUUUACUGCUGUACGUAAAGCGGUGGUUUGUUGGGGAAAAGAACGUCAAGGAAAGGUUCGCUACCUAGCUAACUUUAGCUAUCUAACAUUAUCUCUCUGGCUAAUCCUCCAUUGACAUGGAAUCUUCCCACAAGGCACACACUGGUUGAAUCAACGUUGUUUCCACAUCAUUGAAAUGAAAUUAUGUUGAACCAGCGUGGAAUAGACGUUGUAUUAACGUCUGUGCCCAGUGGAGUCCAGCUUGGAUAGAAGGAUAGAGGCGGUAACAAAGGAAAAGAGUACAGAAGUUAUCCAGCCUGCUGACUAAGACAUUUAAAUAGCCUAUGUUUUGCUGUCUAUCUCUCUCCAUCUGUCGGCCUGACUGCCAGAUUGCUGAGGGGCAACAUAGACUUAGCCUAGCAAGUACAUUGACUAACUUAGUGAAGACCUUAGGUAAUGGUUAAUCAUGAUUUGUCUCGGUCUUUAAAGUUCCUGAAACACGUCAAUGACCUGAUGCACGGCUUCUACAGCAGUGCUUGGCCACACACUGUUACCAGUGACCUAUUCUACUACAUCCCAGGGAUAGGAGAGAGCAGGCCAACCCCUCCUUAAACCCAUAGUCAUUGACAGUUUUGGGUGGAAAAUGUUUUUUUUUUCUCUAUUUGAUACUCUGAUAUUCAAUGUGUAUUGAUUCCUACUAAUCAGCUUUGUAAGAGCUAGGUUUGUACUAGCUAUGCUGAUGAUCGUUAAAAAAAAAUCAUUAAAUCACAGACUGGAUUCCCCAAGAGACAUGCUAUUCAGCUGCCCAUGAUUGCCUGAGUGCAAAACCGUUCUGAUUCAAGAGAUACCUACCUCUCUUGAUUGAUGACCAAUGAAUUAAUAUUCCACUUCAAUAUAAGGGCCAGAGGAGCAAGCAUGCCUUUGCUACCACUAGUGUGUGCUCUUCAUUGUAGUUGUAAGUGUCAUGAAAAGUCAGAACACUCAGGAGGUUGAUGUGUUACUCUGGAAAGUGUUGAUGUGUUACGGGCCCUCUGGAAAGUCCUAAAAUGUGCCCCUGACUGUCGUGGUGGAGGAGGACACAAAAUCUGAUCCAUCACACGACUCUUCAAGAGGACCACUACGCUCCAGAUCGCCUUCUGUCCUCAGAGGUCCUUCAUGAGGAUCUACCCCAUCACACCACUCUUAUUAAUCAAAUAAAAACAAUGAGCCUUUAUAUACUGUGUCCCAGUUUUUCUAUGCAUGUAAUGUUUGUGGGUGAAUUAUGAAACAAUUACUGUAUGCAGAUGUGCAAAAUGUUUUGAUGUAUAUUAGUUUUUGCCAUUGCUUGAUGUAUGUUGUAUAUUGAAACAUUUAAUUGGUGCCUAUAGAAAUGUAAUGAACCAUGUAUUCAAUAUCAAACUUCAUCCUCUGCAAUACUUUUUACUGUAGGUAAUAAGCUGUAAUCAGGUGGUCAUUCAGGUUGUGUUAUCUAUGACCAGUAUAUACAGUGCCUUCAGAAAGUAUUCAUAACUCUUGACUUUCCAUUUUGUUGUUAAAAUCCUCACCUAUCUACACACAG